rnacentral:lncRNA from 1 species
AGGAAGACUGGCCCUGAGCUAACGUCCAUGCCCAUCUUCCUCUACUUUAUAUGUGGGAUGCCUACCACAGCAUGGCUUGCCAGGCAGUGCCAUGUCCGCACCAGGGAUCCCAACUGGCAAACCCCGGCCGCCGAAGCGGAACGUGCGCACUUAACUGCUGCACCACCCACCAGCCCCUGAAGAAACCUUUCAACGGAAGGAGAUGGGAGAACAGCAAAGAGAUCAGAAAAGUGUAGUCUUCAAUAGAUGGUACACUUCAGUUGUUUCCAGAUUUUCUAACUUACAGCAAAGCUUCUAUAACGUCCCCGUAUUGGAAGCUCCUUGAAAGCAGAGCCCAUGUAUUACAACUUUGUAUCCUAUCUCAAUUCUUAGCACAUGAAAGAUGGCUGCAAAUUGGAAUUCCUAUUUUCUGAAAUUGCCUCCUGACUUUGCCCUAGAACUAUCCUAUUUUGUAAUGGGCCUGCAAUCUGCCUCUGAAUGGAAGUCAUGGAAAGGAUCAAAAAUGACUGACCAGCGUUGGUGGAGUUUGGGUUUUUUUUAAAUAAUAGUAGGUAUUAAUGUAGCACACUGUAUUUGUAGUGCUUUGAAAUAAAUAUCACAAUAUUAUAUGUAAAUAUACAUAUAACCAAACACAUAUAAGCUAACAAUUCAUUAAAAUAAAGAAUUAGUAUCUUAUGUCUUUUUGGUGUCCAAAGUGAAACCACUAGCUCCUGUGGGAUCCUAAGGAUCUACAAAUUACUGAGCACCACCUCCUCCCCAGGUGAGUGAUUUUUUUGUAAGCAGGCGG